UACGGAGGGUGCGAGCGUUGUCCGGAAUCACUGGGCGUAAAGGGCGCGUAGGCGGCCAUUCAAGUCGGGGGUGAAAGCCUGUGGCUCAACCACAGAAUUGCCUUCGAUACUGUUUGGCUUGAGUAUGGUAGAGGUUGGUGGAACUGCGAGUGUAGAGGUGAAAUUCGUAGAUAUUCGCAAGAACACCGGUGGCGAAGGCGGCCAACUGGACCAUUACUGACACUGAGGCGCGAAAGCGUGGGGAGCAAACAGG
rnacentral:rRNA from 1 species